UAACACGUGGGUAACCUGCCCAUCAGAGGGGGAUAACAUUCGGAAACGGAAUGCUAAAACCGCAUAGGUCCUUUAACCGCAUGGUUGAAGAGGAAAGAGGCGCAAGCUUCUGCUGAUGGAUGGACCCGCGGUGCAUUAGCUAGUUGGUGAGGUAACGGCUCACCAAGGCCGUGAUGCAUAGCCGACCUGAGAGGGUGAUCGGCCACAUUGGGACUGAGACACGGCCCAA
rnacentral:rRNA from 1 species